UACGGGGGGGGGCAAGCGUUGUUCGGAAUUACUGGGCGUAAAGGGCUCGUAGGUGGCCAACUAAGUCAUGCGUGAAAUCCCUCGGCUUAACCGGGGAACUGCGUCUGAUACUGGAUGGCUUGAGUUUGGGAGAGGGAUGCGGAAUUCCAGGUGUAGCGGUGAAAUGCGUAGAUAUCUGGAGGAACACCGGUGGCGAAGGCGGCAUCCUGGACCAACACUGACACUGAGGAGCGAAAGCCAGGGGAGCAAACGGG
rnacentral:rRNA from 1 species